AAGAAUAUGAGUUUUAUCCUGGCUCAAGAUAAACGCUAGUAGUAUGCUUUACACAUGCAAGUUGAACGAAAUAUAAAAAAUUUCGUAGCGAACGGGUGAAAAAUAUGUGAAAUUAUUACCUUUUAGUUUAGCAAAAAGUAUUUAUAAAAUAUUAAAUUCUAAAUAAUAUUAAAAAAGGUUGUCAUUUGUAAAUGAUAUUCCGCUAAAAGAUAGGUUCGCAUAAGAUUAGGUAGUUGGUAAAUUUAAUAGCUUACCAAGCCUUUGAUCUUUAGUUGGUCUUAGAGGAUGAUCAACCACACUGGAACUGAAACAAGGUCCAGGCUAAUUUUUUUGGCCAGCAGUGAGGAAUAUUGGACAAUGAACGAAAGUUUGAUCCAGCAAUACUACCUGAAUGAAUGACUGCUGAUUUAGUUGUAAAAUUCUUUCAUUAAAGAAGAUAAUGACCGUAUUUAAGGAAGUUUAAGUCCUGGCUAAUACUCGUGCCAGCAGCCGCGGUAAUACGAGAAGGGCAGGCGUUAUCUAUCAUAACUGGGCGUAAAGGGUUCGUAGACGGUAAUGUAAGUUAUUUGUUAAAUUUUAAAGCUUAACUUUAUUUAGCAUUUAAUACUGCUUUACUUUGAGUUUUAUGCAGAAGAGUAGAAUUUUAUUUGUAAGGGUAAAAUCUAAUAAUAAAUAAAGGAAUUCCAGUAGGCGAAGGCGACUCUUUAGCAAAAACUGACGUUGAGGAACGAAAGUGUAGGUAGCAAACAGGAUUAGAGACCCUGGUAGUCUACACUGUAAAUUCUGAGUGCUGUAAUUUAAUGAUAAAUUUUUUUAAAAUAUUAAAAAAUUAUUUUAGAUUUUUAAGCUAACGCCAUAAGCACUCCGCCUGAGAAGUACGAUCGCAAGGUUGGAACUCAAAGGAAUUGACGGGGGUCUAAAACUAGUGGUGGGGUAUGUGGUUUAAUGCGAUAAUCCGCGCAUAAUCUUACCAAUUCUUGACAUAAUAAUUAUUAUAAUUUUAUCGUUAGGUAAUAAUUAAAAUAUAUUUUUACAGGUGUUGCACGACUGUCAUCAGCUCGUGUCGUGAGAUGUUUGGUUAAGUCCUUGAACGAGCGUAACUCUUACCUUUAUUUACAAAUUUUAUAAUUUUGAAUAAUAAAAUAAUUUAAAAUUGUUUUAAAGACACUGUCAACGAUAAGUUGAAGGAAGGUGAGAACUAAGCCAAGUCAAUGUGACCCUUAUGAAUUGGGCUACACACGUGCUACAAUGAAAAUUACAAAAAGUUACAAAAAUUAAAAUUUUAGUUAUUCUUUAAAAAUUUUCUUAGUUCGAAUUGAAAACUGCAACUCGUUUUCAUGAAGUUGGAAUCACUAGUAAUCGUAAAUCAGCACGUUACGGUGAACAUGUAAAUUGACCUUGUACACACCGCCCGUCACAUGCGGAGAGUUAAUGUCAUUUGAAAAUUUAACAUUGUUAAGUUAAUUAAGAUAUUAAUAAUUUGGAUGAAGUCGUAACAAGGUAGCUGUACGGGAACGUGUAGCUGGAAUAA
rnacentral:rRNA from 1 species